UCAUCUGGUGAUGAUGCUCUUUAGGGUAACACCCGUUUUCCAUUCCGAACACGAAGGUUAAGCCUAUUGAGGCCGAUGGUACUGCAC
rnacentral:rRNA from 1 species